GCUCUGUUGUUAGGGAAGAACAAGUGCGAGAGUAACUGCUCGCACCAUGACGGUACCUAACCAGAAAGCCACGGCUAACUACGUGCCAGCAGCCGCGGUAAUACGUAGGUGGCAAGCGUUGUCCGGAAUUAUUGGGCGUAAAGGGCUCGCAGGCGGUUUCUUAAGUCUGAUGUGAAAGCCCCCGGCUCAACCGGGGAGGGUCAUUGGAAACUGGGAAACUUGAGUGCAGAAGAGGAGAGUGGAAUUCCACGUGUAGCGGUGAAAUGCGUAGAGAUGUGGAGGAACACCAUUGGCGAACGCGACUCUCUGGUCUGUAACUGACGCUGAGGAGCGA
rnacentral:rRNA from 1 species